rnacentral:rRNA from 1 species
UGCGUAGGCGGUUAGGUAAGUCAGAUGUGAAAUUCCAGGGCUCAACCCUUGGAACUGCAUUUGAUACUGCUUGACUAGAGUACUGGAGGGGAGACUGGAAUUCACGGUGUAGCAGUGAAAUGCGUAGAUAUCGUGAGGAAGGCCAGCGGCGAAGGCGAGUCUCUGGACAGUUACUGACGCUGAGGCACGAAGGCGUAGGGGAGCGAAACG